CUAACGUCUCAGUUCAGAUUGCAGGCUGCAACUCGCCUGCAUGAAGUCGGAAUUGCUAGUAAUCGCAGAUCAGCAUGCUGCGGUGAAUACGUUCCCGGGCCUUGUACACACCGCCCGCCACACCAUGGGAGUCGGUAACACCCGAAGUCGGUAGCCUAACCGUAAGGAGGGCGCCGCCGAAGGCGGGAUUGAUGACUGGGGUGAAGUCGUAACAAGGUACC
rnacentral:rRNA from 1 species